UGAACCAAACUACUCAGUAAUCUCCUCCAUGAAGACUGGGGGUCAGCCUGAUGAACCAAACUACUCAGUAAUCUCCUCCAUGAAGACUGGAGGUCAGCCUGAUGAACCAAACUACUCAGUAAUCUCCUCCAUGAAGACUGGAGGUCAGCCUGAUGAACCAAACUACUCAGUAAUCUCCUCCAUGAAGACCGGAGGUCAGCCUGAUGAACCAAACUACUCAGUAAUCUCCUCCAUGAAGACUGGAGGUCAGCCUGAUGAACCAAACUACUCAGUAAUCUCCUCUAUGAAGACUGGAGGUCAGCCUGAUGAACCAAACUACUCAGUAAUCUCCUCCAUGAAGACUGGAGGUCAGCCUGAUGAACCAAACUACUCAGUAAUCUCCUCCAUGAAGACUGGAGGUCAGCCUGAUGAACCAAACUACUCAGUAAUCUCCUCCAUGAAGACUGGAGGUCAGCCUGAUGAACCAAACUACUCAGUAAUCUCCAUGAAGACUGGAGGUCAGCCUGAUGAACCAAACUACUCAGUAAUCUCCUCCAUGAAGACUGGGGGUCAGCCUGAUGAACCAAACUACUCAGUAAUCUCCUCCAUGAAGACUGGAGGUCAGCCUGAUGAACCAUGAAGACUGGGGGUCAGCCUGAUGAACCAAACUACUCAGUAAUCUCCUCCAUGAAGACUGGGGGUCAGCCUGAUGAACCAAACUACUCAGUAAUCUCCUCCAUGAAGACUGGAGGUCAGCCUGAUGAACCAAACUACUCAGUAAUCUCCUCCAUGAAGACUGGGGGUCAGCCUGAUGAACUAAACUACUCAGUAAUCUCCUCCAUGAAGACUGGAGGUCAGCCUGAUGAACCAAACUACUCAGUAAUCUCCUCCAUGAAGACUGGAGGUCAGCCUGAUGAACCAAACUACUCAGUAAUCUCCUCCAUGAAGACUGGAGGUCAGCCUGAUGAUCAUAUGCACUGAUCAAUUAAUGUAUACAUUUAUCAUUUGUAGGUAUUGUUAUCCGUUUGAACAAACCUUGUUUAUUUUUGAACUUAGUAUUGUAUAUAGUUUUUUUUGUGGUGUGUUUGUUUUAAGCCCUUGAGCUUCCAACCACCUGCACACUGUUUUAAAUUGACUUGGCUUUGAUCUGUAUUGUUGUUUAUCACUUUGUUUACUUUGGUGUAAAUAAAUUAGAACAAACUAACAAAACAGA